rnacentral:lncRNA from 1 species
AUGAGCACAAAAGUGAAGAGAGGUCAAGUUUUGUCGCAGCUUUUUCAGCUACAGUAGGAGAAGAGAAAGAUAAGUGGUAUAUUGACUCCGGUGCAUCCAUGCAUAUGACAAGCAGAGCUGAUUGGAUGUACAACGUCACAGCACCAUCAGUAAAUAGCAUCACAGUGGCCAACAGAGAACCACUGCCGGUAAAAGGACUUGGUUGCAUAGAUAUUUACCUGUCACAGGGCAAUAAGAUACAGGUAAAAAAUGUCCUAUAUGUUCCUGGAUUGGCAACCAAUCUGCUUUCUGAUGGCUCAUUUGCAUGUUUCCGCUGUAAGCAAAUUACCAGACUGUGCAGAUGGUGUGACUCUGACUCCAGCUAGUAGUAAUGUCACCAGAUGUAUCCAAUGCUGUGAAGGUAAACAAGCCAGGCUGCCAUUUAAAAAUACAGGUACCAGGGCAACUCAACCUUUGGAAGUUAUUCAUUCGGAUUUAUGUGGGCCCAUGGAGAACUUGUCACAUGCAG